rnacentral:rRNA from 1 species
GAUGAACGCUGGCGGCGUGCCUAAUACAUGCAAGUCGAGCGAACGGACGAGAAGCUUGCUUCUCUGAUGUUAGCGGCGGACGGGUGAGUAACACGUGGAUAACCUACCUAUAAGACUGGGAUAACUUCGGGAAACCGUAGCUAAUACCCGAUAAUAUUUUGAACCGCAUGGUUCAACAGUGAAAGACGGUCUUGCUGUCCCUUAUAGAUGGAUCCGCGCUGCAUUAGCUAGUUGGUAAGGUAACGGCUUACCAAGGCAACGAUGCAUAGCCGACCUGAGAGGGUGAUCGGCCACACUGGAACUGAGACACGGUCCAGACUCCUACGGGAGGCAGCAGUAGGGAAUCUUCCGCAAUGGGCGAAAGCCUGACGGAGCAACGCCGCGUGAGUGAUGAAGGUCUUCGGAUCGUAAAACUCUGUUAGUAGGGAAGAACAUAUGUGUAAGUAACUGUGCACAUCUUGACGGUACCUAAUCAGAAAGCCACGGCUAACUACGUG